GAUACGCAUAAAAAAGGUGAUGAGACUCCAAAUUUUUUUCCUUUAGAAUCUUUCUGUUCUAUUUACAGGAGUAUAUUGGAUGCAAGGGAAACUAAUGGAUAUCAUGAGGAGACAAAAAAUGCCCAAGUCUGCAAGAACACGUUGCAGGUUCGUCGUUACUCAGGAUGACUCUUCAUGGACAGGAGGAGACUAUUCUGGGAAAAAGCAAAGAAACUGAGCCUCAAGGAAAUAAGGAGAUUAAUUCAAAGAUAUACAGCAAAAAGUAUGAUAGAAACCAAGAUUUGAAUCAAGGUCUUCAUCACUCCAAAUCCUAUCCUCUUUCCAUGGUCCUACCUUGCCACUCACUAAUAAGGAAACUGAGGCUUGGACAUUUGGAAUUAAUAACUCCAAAAAAAAAAAAACAUAAGUAAGAAUGAGAUCCAUAUAAAACCAGGAGGUAAGACAUGAUGGUCUCUGAGAUCUCUUUCAGUUAAAAACUGAAGAUCUUCUCAUCCUUUGAACUUCUUAUUGCAAAAACCAUCACUCUUCCUGUUAUCCCACUGCUCCCAAGAGCCAUAAAUGAAGAAUCAAUGGAAAUAUCUAAACAGGCAUGAAUGGGGUCCUGGGUAACCUAUGAUGUAAAAUUGGAGGUUCAAAUGAAUUGAAUUUUAUUUCCUGUCUCCUAAUCAUUUGCAUGUUGCUUAAUCUAUUCACAACUGUAAACAAAUGGUGCAUAAUUUGUGGCAAUCAUACUAAGAACAUAUGAAGGUAUAACAACAU
rnacentral:lncRNA from 1 species